ACGGGUGAGUAAUACGUGAGAAUCUGCCUUUUAGUGGAGAACACCUUCGAGAAAUCGAAGUUAAUACUGCAUAAGUCCUGAGGGAGAAAGAUGGCCUCUUUGCUGUCGCUAAAAGAUGAGCUCACGCGCUAUCAGCUAGUUGGUGAGGUAAAGGCUUACCAAGGCAAUGACGGCUAGCCGGCCUGAGAGGGUGUACGGCCACACUGGAACUUAGACACGGUCCAGACUCCUACGGGAGGCAGCAGUGGGGAAUAUUGCGCAAUGGGCGAAAGCCUGACGCAGCGACGCCGCGUGAAGGAAGAAGGUCUUCGGAUUGUAAACUUCUGUUAAGUGGAAAGAAAACUUUACGUUUAAUACACGUAAGGAAUGACGGUACCAUUAGAGAAAGCACCGGCUAACUUCGUGCCAGCAGCCGCGGUAAUACGAAGGGUGCAAGCGUUAUUCGGAAUCAUUGGGCGUAAAGGGUGCGUAGACGGUAUGUUAAGUCUAUUGUUAAAUCUUCUGGCCUAACCAGAAAUCUGCAGUAGAUACUGAUGUGCUAGAGGGUGGAAGAGAGAAGUGGAAUUCUCGGAGUAGCGGUAAAAUGCGU
rnacentral:rRNA from 1 species